rnacentral:rRNA from 1 species
AUUGAACGCUGGCGGCAGGCCUAACACAUGCAAGUCGAACGGUAACAGGAAGAAGCUUGCUUCUUUGCUGACGAGUGGCGGACGGGUGAGUAAUGUCUGGGAAACUGCCUGAUGGAGGGGGAUAACUACUGGAAACGGUAGCUAAUACCGCAUAACGUCGCAAGACCAAAGAGGGGGACCUUCGGGCCUCUUGCCAUCGGAUGUGCCCAGAUGGGAUUAGCUAGUAGGUGGGGUAACGGCUCACCUAGGCGACGAUCCCUAGCUGGUCUGAGAGGAUGACCAGCCACACUGGAACUAAGACACGGUCCAGACUCCUACGGGAGGCAGCAGUGGUGAAUAUUGCACAGUGGGCGCAAGCCUGAUGCAGCCAUGCCGCGUGUAUGAAGAAGGCCUUCGGGUUGUAAAGUACUUUCAGCGGGGAGGAAGGGAGUAAAGUUAAUACCUUUGCUCAUUGACGUUACCCGCAGAAGAAGCACCGGCUAACUCCGUG